rnacentral:rRNA from 1 species
AUUGAACGCUGGCGGCAUGCUUUACACAUGCAAGUCGAACGACAGCGCGGGCUUCGGCCUGGCGGCGAGUGGCGAACGGGUGAGUAAUACAUCGGAACGUGCCCAGUAGUGGGGGAUAGCUCGGCGAAAGCCGGAUUAAUACCGCAUACGACCUGAGGGUGAAAGCGGGGGAUCUUCGGACCUCGCGCUAUUGGAGCGGCCGAUGGCAGAUUAGCUAGUUGGUGGGGUAAAGGCCUACCAAGGCGACGAUCUGUAGCUGGUCUGAGAGGACGACCAGCCACACUGGGACUGAGACACGGCCCAGACUCCUACGGGAGGCAGCAGUGGGGAAUUUUGGACAAUGGGCGAAAGCCUGAUCCAGCAAUGCCGCGUGUGUGAUGAAGGCCUUCGGGUUGUAAAGCACUUUUGGCGGGAACGAAAAGGACUGUGCCAAUACCACGGUUCGAUGACGGUACCCGCAGAAUAAGCACCGGCUAACUACGUG